AAGUCGUAACAAGGUUUCCGUAGGUGAACCUGUGGAAGGAUCAUCACGAGAGGUCGCCGCAAGGCGCACCACAACACUGUGUUGCCGAGCGAUGAGUGUAGCGCAUUGCGCUGCACACGUCUAUUGACACCAUGCAAACUGAAUCAGCCCUAAUAGCAACCAACAACAAACACAACUGUUAGCAACGGAUCACUUGGUUCUC
rnacentral:misc_RNA from 1 species